GUUGGAAUCAUACAAUAUAGAUCCUUUUCAGAUUGGCUCUUUCAUCUAGCAGUAUACAUUUAAGGUUCCUCCAUGUCUUUUUAUGGCUUGGUAGUUUAUUUCUGUUGUUGUUGUUGAUAUGCCUUUAUUUAUUUAUUUAUUCAUUUAUUUAUAUGUGGUGCUAAGAAUCAAAAGCAGUGCCUCACACAUGCUAGGAAAGUGCUCUCCACUGAGCUACCACCCCAGCCCAGUUUAUUUCUUUUUUAGUGUUAAAUAUUCCAUAAGUUUAGUGUUAAAUAUUCCAUUGUUUGAACAUACCAAUUUAUUUAUCUAUUUAUUUACUGAAGGACAUCUUGGUUGCUUGAAAGUUUUUGUUUUUCUUUUUGUUUUGUUUAGUUUUGGUCCUGGGAGUUGAACCUAGGGCUUUGUGAGUGCUAAGCAAAGGUUCUACCACAGAGUCCUCUCCUUCCACGUUUUUUGUUUGUUUGUUUUGCGGUUUUUAAAUGGUUGGUUGGUUGGUUGGUUGGUUGGUUGGUUUUUGUUUUGGUACUGGGGAUUGAACCCAGGAACAUUCUUCUACUGGGCUACUUUCCCAGCCCCUUUAAAAAUAUUUGUUUUUAAUUCUGAGACAGGAUCUCACUAAGUUGUCCAGACAACUUGUGAUCCUUCUGCCUCAGUCUCCCAAAUUGCUGGGAAUAAAGGCAAGCAACACCACACCUGGCCUAAGUUUUAACAAUUAUGAAUAAAGCAGCUAUAAACAUCUGCGUGCUGAUGUUCACAUCUGUAUGCUGGUGUUUACAUCUGUGUGCUGGUGUUUAUUCUUUUGGAAAAAUGCCAAGGAGGGUGUUUGCUUGAUCAUUUGGUAAAGUAUGUUUAGUUUUGUAAGAUACUGCCAAAUUGUCUUCCAAAGUGGUUCUCCCGUUUUGCAUUCCCACCAGCAAGGAAUGAGACAUUCCUUUUGCUCCACAUCCUUGCCAGCAUUUGGUAUUGUCAGUGUUUUGGAUUUUCACCAUUCUAGUAGAGAUUUAGUGAUAUCUCAUUGUUUUAAUUUGCAGUUCAUUAGUAGCAUAUGAUGUUAAGCAUGUUUCAUAUACUUAUUUGCCAUCUGUGUAUCUUUGGUGAGAUGUCUGUUCAGGUCCUUUGUCAUUGUUUAAACAAGAUGUUUUUGGUACUAGGAAUUGAACCCAGGGGCACUUUACCACUAAGCCACAUCUCCAGUCCUUUUUGUUUUUUCUUUUGAUAUAAAGUCUUGCUAAGUUGCCAAGACUAACCUCAAAUUUGUGAUACUCCUGAUUUAGCCUUUCUGGUGGCUAGAAUUAUAGGUGUGCACCAUCAUGCCCAGCUGUUUAUGGUUAUUUUAAAAUAUGUUUUGUAUCUAAUUGCAAAAAAAAAAAUGAGUUCACUUGAGGAUUUUUCAUCCUUGGUUUGAACAUUGAAAUCCAUAGACAAUUUUUAAAAAUACUAAAGAUUCUAGCGAGGCAUGGUGUCACACACUAUGGGCAGAGGAUACUGGGGAUCAAACCCACAGGUAUUCUGCCACUGAGCCAUAUUCAUAAAUCUUUUCUUAAUUGUUUCAAAUUUUGAGACAGGCUGGUCUUGAAUUUGUAAUCCUCCUGCCUCAGUCUCCCAAGUAGCUGGGAUUAUAGGUACGUGCCACUAUGCCCAGCAAUAUUUAAGAUUUUUUGGCAGGUGGGUACCAGGGAUUGAACUCAGGGGCUCUUGACCACUGAAUCACAUCCCCAGCCCUAUUUUGUAUUUUAUUCAGAGACAGGGUCUCACUGAGUUGCAUAGUGCCUCACUUUUGCUGAGGCUGGGUUUGAACUCACAAUCCUCUUGCUUCAGCCUCCUGAGACACUGGGAUCACAGGCAUGCACCACCAUGCCCAGCAAUAUUUAAGAUUUUUAAACCUCAAAAUAAUUUAAAUACUUGUGUUCCUGUAUUCACUUUUUUAUGAAAUAAAGAGGUAGUAACAUUAUUCUGGGGGAAAACCAAAGGAAAGAUUUAUUUUUGAAAUUAAUUGAAAACAUGUGGAACUCAGCCAGGUACCAUGAUACAGACCAGUAAGCCCAGUGACUUGGGUGGCUGACACAGGAGGAUCACGAAUUAGAGGCCAGCCUUAGCAAUUUAGCAAAAUCCUAAGAAACUUAGCGAGACCCUGUCUCAAAAUAAAGUAUUUCAAAAAGGGGCUGGGAAUGUGGCUCUGUAGUUAGUUAAGCACCCUGAAUUCAAUCCCAGAUACCAAAAGAGAAAAGAAAAAGAAACAAUACAUGGAGCUUAAUAUAUGCCAACUGACUUACAAUUAAUAAUUCACUUAAUCCUCUAAUAACUAUAUAAGUGAGAUAAUAUAAUUGCCUCUUUUUUACAGAAAGGGAGACCAAGGCCUGCAAAGAUUAAGUAAUCUGUUCAAGGUCAUACACUAGUAAACAACAGAGACAAGCUUUGAACCCAGAAAGCCUGACUGCAGAAUCUCCUAGCUAUGACCCUCUGCUAUCUCUUUGAGUUAAGUGAUUUUUUCCCCUUGAUGACAAGAAAUGAAACACUGUGCUGAGCAUGGUGGUGCUCACCUAUAAUCCCCACAAUUUGGUAGGCCAAGGCAGGAAGAUCAUAAAUUCAUGGCCUGACUUAGCAAUUUAGUAAGGCUAUAAGCAAUUUAGUAAGACCCUGUCAAAAUAAAAAGUAAAAAAGGCUGGGGAUGUAACUCAGUGGUAAAGCACCCCUGGGUUUAAUCCCCAGUACCAAAAAAAGAAAGGAAAGAAUAUACUAUGAGGAGUUGAGCUUAUAGAAAUUAUGAGUGCAAAAAAAUAAAUACACCAGGAUGCUUAUCGCAAGAUUUUUGUACUCAUUAAAUAUUAAAAGCAGUCUAUAUGUCCAGUCAAUGGCAGAGUGAACAAAUGAAGUAUGGGACAUUUGUUAACCUAUUUAGUUGUUUAAAACAAAAAAAAAACUGACUUAGAAAAAUGACAGUUUUUAAACUAGAAUAGAAAGUUGCAGAAUCAUAAACACCUUAACAUCCCAUUUUAAAACUGUACUGACUGGUCAUGAUGGCACAUACUUAUAAUCUCAGUGGAUCAGGAGGCUGAGGCAGGAUGAUCAAAAGUUCAAAGCCAGCCUCAACAAAUUAGGCCCUAAG
rnacentral:lncRNA from 1 species